UACGUAGGGCGCAAGCGUUGUCCGGAAUUAUUGGGCGUAAAGAGCUCGUAGGCGGUCUGUUGCGUCUGCCGUGAAAACCCGAGGCUUAACCUCGGGCCUGCGGUGGAUACGGGCAGACUAGAGGUAGGUAGGGGAGAACGGAAUUCCCGGUGUAGCGGUGAAAUGCGCAGAUAUCGGGAGGAACACCGGUGGCGAAGGCGGUUCUCUGGGCCUUACCUGACGCUGAGGAGCGAAAGCCAGGGGAGCAAACGGG
rnacentral:rRNA from 1 species